ACCGAAAUAGCUCAGUUGGGAGAGCGUUAGACUAUAGAUCGAAAGGUCUCUGGUUCGAUUCCGGAAUUCGGCA
rnacentral:tRNA from 1 species